rnacentral:rRNA from 1 species
GACGAACGCUGGCGGCGUGCCUAAUACAUGCAAGUCGAGCGAAGUUUUUCUGGUGCUUGCACUAGAAAAACUUAGCGGCGAACGGGUGAGUAACACGUAAAGAACCUGCCUCAUAGACUGGGACAACUAUUGGAAACGAUAGCUAAUACCGGAUAACAGUAUUUCUCGCAUGAGAGAUAUUUAAAAGUUGGUUAUGCUAACACUAUGAGAUGGCUUUGCGGUGCAUUAGCUAGUUGGUGGGGUAAAGGCCCACCAAGGCGACGAUGCAUAGCCGACCUGAGGGGGUGAUCGGCCACACUGGGACUGAGACACGGCCCAGACUCCUACGGGAGGCAGCAGUAGGGAAUCUUCCGCAAUGGGCGAAAGCCUGACGGAGCAACGCCGUGUGAGUGAAGAAGGAUUUCGGUUCGUAAAGCUCUGUUGUUAGGGAAGAAUGGAUAUGUAGUAACUAUACAUGUAAGAGACGGUACCUAACCAGAAAGCCACGGCUAACUACGUG